rnacentral:rRNA from 1 species
CAUAUCYAUAAGCGGAGGAAAAGAAACUAACCAGGAUUCCAUUAGUAACGGCGAGCGAAACUGGAAAAGUCCAACUUGAAAAUCUCCAGCUUUUAGCUGGCGAAUUGUAGUCUAGAGAAGUAAUCUCUGUGGUCAGCUCUGCCCAAAUUCCCUGGAACGGGAUGUCAGAGAGGGUGAGAGCCCCGUCGGCAGGGUGUUGACCGCUCCACGAGAUGCUUUCGCAGAGUCGGGUUGUUUGGGAAUGCAGCCCUAAUUUGGUGGUAAGUCCCAUCUAAGACUAAAUACUGGCGAGAGACCGAUAGCGAACAAGUACCGUGAGGGAAAGAUGAAAAGAACUUUGAAAAGAGAGUUAAAAAGUGCUUGAAAUUGUUGAGGGGGAAGCCAUUGGCGGCUGUGGGUGCACCUAGGCUCAAAGUACCCCACCGGGUACCUGAAAGUGCUAGGAGCUGGUCAGCAUGGGCUACUCUUGCGGGAUAAACCUUUCUAUGUCGAAAGUCUAUGUCGUGGGGGUGGCCGAGGAACGAUGGACGCUUAGCCUUCGAGCUGCGUCCACAAGAUGCUGACGGAAGGCUGCCAAUGGGCC